rnacentral:rRNA from 1 species
GACGAACGCUGGCGGCGUGCUUAACACAUGCAAGUCGAACGGAAAGGCCCUGCGUUUGUGGGGUUCUCGAGUGGCGAACGGGUGAGUAACACGUGAGUAACCUGCCCUUGACUUUGGGAUAACUUCAGGAAACUGGGGCUAAUACCGGAUAGGAUCUCCUGCUGCAUGGUGGGGGUUGGAAAGUUUCGGCGGUUGGGGAUGGACUCGCGGCUUAUCAGCUUGUUGGUGGGGUAGUGGCUUACCAAGGCUUUGACGGGUAGCCGGCCUGAGAGGGUGACCGGCCACAUUGGGACUGAGAUACGGACCAGACUCCUACGGGAGGCAGCAGUGGGGAAUAUUGCACAAUGGGCGGAAGCCUGAUGCAGCAACGCCGCGUGCGGGAUGACGGCCUUCGGGUUGUAAACCGCUUUAGCCUGUGACGAAGCGUGAGUGACGGUAAUGGGUAAAGAAGCACCGGCUAACUACGUG